rnacentral:rRNA from 1 species
AACGAACGCUGGCGGCAGGCUUAACACAUGCAAGUCGAGCGCCCCGCAAGGGGAGCGGCAGACGGGUGAGUAACGCGUGGGAAUCUACCCAUCACUACGGAACAACUCCGGGAAACUGGAGCUAAUACCGUAUACGUCCUUCGGGAGAAAGAUUUAUCGGUGAUGGAUGAGCCCGCGUUGGAUUAGCUAGUUGGUGGGGUAAAGGCCUACCAAGGCGACGAUCCAUAGCUGGUCUGAGAGGAUGAUCAGCCACACUGGGACUGAGACACGGCCCAGACUCCUACGGGAGGCAGCAGUGGGGAAUAUUGGACAAUGGGCGAAAGCCUGAUCCAGCCAUGCCGCGUGAGUGAUGAAGGCCCUAGGGUUGUAAAGCUCUUUCACCGGUGAAGAUAAUGACGGUAACCGGAGAAGAAGCCCCGGCUAACUUCGUGCCAGCCGCCGCAGUAAUAC